rnacentral:rRNA from 1 species
UGAGGAAUAUUGCACAAUGGGCGAAAGCCUGAUGCAGCGACGCCGCGUGGAGGAUGAAGGAUUUCGGUCUGUAAACUCCUGUCAGUAGGGAAGAGAAUGGACGGUACCUACUGAGGAAGCUUCGGCUAACUACGUGCCAGCAGCCGCGGUAAGACGUAGGAAGCAAGCGUUGUCCGGAAUUACUGGGCGUAAAGAGCUCGUAGGCGGGAUCGUAAGUCUUAGAGUAAAUCUCACGGCUCAACCGUGGGGCCUUCUGAGAUACUGCGAUUCUUGAGGAUGUCAGAGGAAAGUAGAAUUCCCGGUGUAGCGGUGAAAUGCGUAGAUAUCGGGAGGAAUACCAGUGGCGAAGGCGACUUUCUGGGACAUUCCUGACGCUGAGGAGCGAAAGCGUGGGGAGCAAACGGG